UCUUAUCGAGAGCGGCGGAGGGACUGGCCCUAUGAUGCCCGGCAACCUGCCCCUGCACAGGGGAGCGUGGUGCCAAAACCAGAGACCGGAAGUUGUUUUUCCGGGUCGGAUGAUGA
rnacentral:ncRNA from 1 species